GCCGAACGAAAUCAAGAGUCAGAUGCUUAACUACUGAGCCACCCUGGUAAAAAUUCCUAAGGAAAGAGUCCACACCACUAUGGAGAGAUGAGCAAGCAGAAGUUAACAAGAAAGAGAAGAAAGCCAGCUCCAACACGCUGAAUCGGAAGACAAGGCUGAAACAGAGCAAAAGACAUCAGUUUGAGGAAGGAAAGUCAGAUAACCUACAAAUGGAAGAGCUUGGAAAAAUUCAUGGAUUCGGAGGAUAUUUAAGCAGCAGCCAUAAUCUCUUGGAACAACGGCCUAUAAGUGCCCUGACUGCAAGAACCAGAAUAUUAAUCAUCGUUCUGAUGCAGAAAAUAAUUUCUUCAAGUUACAGUGUUAAUUCUCCCUAAAUAAUAAAUGGUCUAUUCAGGCCCCAGAGAUGAGGCUGUGAAGCUAGAA